GACGAACGCUGGCGGCGUGCCUAAUACAUGCAAGUCGAGCGGAUCUUCAUUAGCUUGCUUUUGAAGAUCAGCGGCGGACGGGUGAGUAACACGUGGGCAACCUGCCUGUAAGACUGGGAUAACUUCGGGAAACCGGAGCUAAUACCGGAUAAUCCUUUUCCUCUCAUGAGGAAAAGCUGAAAGACGGUUUCGGCUGUCACUUACAGAUGGGCCCGCGGCGCAUUAGCUAGUUGGUGAGGUAACGGCUCACCAAGGCGACGAUGCGUAGCCGACCUGAGAGGGUGAUCGGCCACACUGGGACUGAGACACGGCCCAGACUCCUACGGGAGGCAGCAGUAGGGAAUCUUCCGCAAUGGACGAAAGUCUGACGGAGCAACGCCGCGUGAGCGAUGAAGGCCUUCGGGUCGUAAAGCUCUGUUGUCAGGGAAGAACAAGUACCGGAGUAACUGCCGGUACCUUGACGGUACCUGACCAGAAAGCCACGGCUAACUACGUGCCAGCAGCCGCCGUAA
rnacentral:rRNA from 1 species